UAGGGAAUUUUCGUCAAUGGGGGGGAACCCUGAACGAGCAAUGCCGCGUGUGUGAAGAAGGUCUUCGGAUCGUAAAGCACUGUUGUAAGUGAAGAAUGCCAUAUAGAGGAAAUGCUAUGUGGGUGACGGUAGCUUACCAGAAAGCCACGGCUAACUACGUGCCAGCAGCCGCGGUAAUACGUAGGUGGCAAGCGUUAUCCGGAAUCAUUGGGCGUAAAGGGUGCGUAGGUGGCACGAUAAGUCUGAAGUAAAAGGCAACAGCUCAACUGUUGUAUGCUUUGGAAACUGUCGAGCUAGAGUGCAGAAGAGGGCGAUGGAAUUCCAUGUGUAGCGGUAAAAAUGCGUAGAUAUAUGGAGGAACACCAGUGGCGAAGGCGGUCGCCUGGUCUGUAACUGACACUGAUGCACGAAAGCGUGGGGAGCAAAUAGGAUUAGAUACC
rnacentral:rRNA from 1 species